rnacentral:rRNA from 1 species
UAUGUGAUCGUCUCUCGCAUAUCAAUAAGCGGAGGAAAAGAAACUAACAAGGAUUCCCCUAGUAACGGCGAGUGAAGCGGGAAGAGCUCAAAUUUGAAAUCUUAAAGGGUUUCCCUUUACGAAUUGUAGUUUAAAGAAGUGUUUUCUGUUGAGGUUUUGGUAAAAGUUCUUUGGAAUAGGACAUCAUAGAGGGUGAGAAUCCCGUAUUUGACCUUUACUUUCAACUUUGUGAUACACUUUCAAAGAGUCGGAUUGUUUGGGAAUGCAGUCCAAAAUGGGUGGUAAAUUUCAUCUAAAGCUAAAUAUUGGCGAGAGACCGAUAGCGAACAAGUACCGUGAGGGAAAGAUGACAAGAACUUUGAAAAGAGAGUUAAACAGUACGUGAAGUUGUCAAAAGGGAAGCGUUUGACACCAGUGUUGUUUUUCUGAAAAUCAAUUAAAGAACUGUUUAUGCUAAGUUGUUUAGACUUUAUCAGCUAACUGUUUAGUUUUGAGCUUUUCUUUAAUGCACUUUUCAGUUAACAAGUCAACAUCAAUUUCUUUUGCUGUAAAAAAGCUUGAGGAAGGUGGCUUGAGAUUCGUCUUAAGUGUUUAUAGCCUCUUGCCUAUGCAGUCGGAGAGAUUGAGGUCUGCAGCGUAGAUCCUUCGGGGCUAAAUGCAUUUGUGCUAAGUUAUAGCAUUUUAUAGACAACUUGUUGACUAUGAUUUGUCUUGUAGCUUACUCGCUUAUGUUAUUUUACCUACGCUUAGGAUGUUGAUCUACAGAGCGAGAGU